GUUUCAAGCCUUGCUGGACGCCGGCAUUCCAGAAAGAGUAAGUGAACGAGUAGCAUAGGAGAGAAAGUGUAUGUGUGUUUCAAGUUUUGCAGUCCUUCGCGUUAUUAAUUUAGUAAAAUGCGUCCUUGUAUGUAAAAAUGAUAAAUCAAUCUCGUGCGAUGUACGUUGGAAAUGUGCAGAAAAUAAAGUCUUUCGUACUAACUGGGAGGCCAUUACUUUAAUUUUUACAAAUUCAAAGGUGACGUUCAGUGUGCCACAGGUGUGCUCAAGGACUAUGUAGUAACGUACGGUAACUUUGUUAUAGUAACGCGGUGGAACAUUUUAGUUACGUGUAAUGAUGUGGGGACUGGUGUGUGAUUGUGGGCACUAGUUCUGUUGAUUUUUUGACAUUGGAAAGUAUUGUUUGCGGUCGACAGGUGUGCUUACGUUCUGUGGGUGUCUCAUCCGGUCAUGUCCUGUGGACAAAGAAUUCCCAAAACUGUGUGUGGGAAGAUGGAGGAGAAUGAAAGGAACUUUCCGACCAAUCGGACGUUUCGAAUAAGCAGUACUUUUCUGCCGAAAGCUUAUCAUCGGUAUUUACUAACGACAGCUAUUUUUGUUGCCUUCUGCACGGCAUCUUUCGCCACCGAUUUGCUGCAGGCCCCGCGAAUUACGAUAGAGCCUUCCUCGUCCGACAGCAUUGUCAGCGAAGGGAGAACGAAGAUUCUGCAGUGCGAGGC